AUUGAACGCUGGCGGCAUGCCUUACACAUGCAAGUCGAACGGUAACAGAUCUUCGGAUGCUGACGAGUGGCGAACGGGUGAGUAAUACAUCGGAACGUGCCCGAGAGUGGGGGACAACGAGGCGAAAGCUUUGCUAAUACCGCAUACGAUCUCAGGAUGAAAGCAGGGGACCGCAAGGCCUUGCGCUCACGGAGCGGCCGAUGGCAGAUUAGGUAGUUGGUGGGAUAAAAGCUUACCAAGCCGACGAUCUGUAGCUGGUCUGAGAGGACGACCAGCCACACUGGGACUGAGACACGGCCCAGACUCCUACGGGAGGCAGCAGUGGGGAAUUUUGGACAAUGGGCGCAAGCCUGAUCCAGCCAUGCCGCGUGCAGGAUGAAGGCCUUCGGGUUGUAAACUGCUUUUGUACGGAACGAAAAGACUCUGGUUAAUACCUGGGGUCCAUGACGGUACCGUAAGAAUAAGCACCGGCUAACUACGUGCCAGCAGCCGCAGUAACAC
rnacentral:rRNA from 1 species